UACGGGGGGGGCAAGCGUUGUUCGGAAUUACUGGGCGUAAAGGGCUCGUAGGUGGCCAACUAAGUCGGACGUGAAAUCCCUCGGCUUAACCGGGGAACUGCGUCCGAUACUGGAUGGCUUGAGUUUGGGAGAGGGAUGCGGAAUUCCAGGUGUAGCGGUGAAAUGCGUAGAUAUCUGGAGGAACACCGGUGGCGAAGGCGGCAUCCUGGACCAACACUGACACUGAGGAGCGAAAGCUAGGGGAGCAAACGGG
rnacentral:rRNA from 1 species